rnacentral:rRNA from 1 species
GACGAACGCUGGCGGCGUGCCUAAUACAUGCAAGUUGAGCGCUGAAGGUUGGUACUUGUACCAACUGGAUGAGCAGCGAACGGGUGAGUAACGCGUGGGGAAUCUGCCUUUGAGCGGGGGACAACAUUUGGAAACGAAUGCUAAUACCGCAUAAAAACUUUAAACACAAGUUUUAAGUUUGAAAGAUGCAAUUGCAUCACUCAAAGAUGAUCCCGCGUUGUAUUAGCUAGUUGGUGAGGUAAAGGCUCACCAAGGCGAGGAUACAUAGCCGACCUGAGAGGGGGAUCGGCCACAUUGGGACUGAGACACGGCCCAAACUCCUACGGGAGGCAGCAGUAGGGAAUCUUCGGCAAUGGAUGAAAGUCUGACCGAGCAACGCCGCGUGAGUGAAGAAGGUUUUCGGAUCGUAAAACUCUGUUGGUAGAGAAGAACGUUGGUGAGAGUGGAAAGCUCAUCAAGUGACGGUAACUACCCAGAAAGGGACGGCUAACUACGUG